GCGCUUUUCCAGAAAAAGUGCGUGUUUUGACGUUUCCGAGCAGACCUACGUGGGUUGUCAAUUGAGGACCCGAUUUAAGGGCUUUAGGAGAACUGCCGACACCCGCCCUGGGACUCCAACCUACGUGAACAAAAAUGUAGCCGGAGAGGGACCGAAAACAGUUUGCACCCCGACAAAGAGGGUGCUGGGUAUGUCACAAUGAAUAAAACGGACAUAGCUCCUGCUCUUAAGGAACUUGUGGACUUCUGAAGAAGAUGUACCACCAAAGAUUCAGAACUACACCCCCCCCACCUUUGCCCCCAGCUGCCAUCACUGCCACAUUAUCACUGGCAGUAGAAAAUAUUCUGAAUAAGGCUGGGCCUAGGGAGAGGCAAGAAAAACUCCUAGGCUGAAAAUUUAAGGAGGCAGUCCCUCUCAGGGUCAGGUACUGCUUGAAGAACUUUCAGCCACUCUUGGUGAUGCCAAGGAUACAUUUUGUUAAAACACUAAUUAUGCUUUUGGGCCCUUGCCUGCUAAAAUGGAAAACAUGUAAAA